rnacentral:rRNA from 1 species
UUGUUAGUUGCCAUCAUUCAGUUGGGCACUCAGCGAGACUGCCGGUAAUAAACCGGAGGAAGGUGGGGAUGACGUCAAAUCAUCAUGCCCCUUAUGACCUGGGCUACACACGUGCUACAAUGGUUGGUACAACGAGUUGCGAGUCGGUGACGGCGAGCUAAUCUCUUAAAGCCAAUCUCAGUUCGGAUUGUAGGCUGCAACUCGCCUACAUGAAGUCGGAAUCGCUAGUAAUCGCGGAUCAGCACGCCGCGGUGAAUACGUUCCCGGGCCUU